CGUAGGUGUCCUUGAUCCAUUGAUCCAGUGUCUAUCAAAGCUAAUCGUAGCUCGCAGCAUCGAGCACAACCAACAGGGAUUGCCCUAGUAACGGCGAGUGAAGCGGCAACAGCUCAAAUUUGAAAUCUGGCUCUUUCAGAGUCCGAGUUGUAAUUUGCAGAGGGCGCUUUGGCUUUGGCAGCGGUCCAAGUUCCUUGGAACAGGACGUCACAGAGGGUGAGAAUCCCGUACGUGGUCGCUAGCUAUUGCCGUGUAAAGCCCCUUCGACGAGUCGAGUUGUUUGGGAAUGCAGCUCUAAAUGGGAGGUAAAUUUCUUCUAAAGCUAAAUACUGGCCAGAGACCGAUAGCGCACAAGUAGAGUGAUCGAAAGAUGAAAAGCACUUUGGAAAGAGAGUCAAACAGCACGUGAAAUUGUUGAAAGGGAAGCGCUUGCAGCCAGACUUGCUUGCAGUUGCUCAUCCGGGCUUUUGCCCGGUGCACUCUUCUGCAGGCAGGCCAGCAUCAGUUUGGGCGGUGGGAUAAAGGUCUCUGACACGUUCCUUCCUUCGGGUUGGCCAUAUAGGGGAGACGUCAUACCACCAGCCUGGACUGAGGUCCGCGCAUCUGCUAGGAUGCUGGCGUAAUGGCUGUAAGCGGCCCGUCUUGAAACACGGACCAAGGAGUCUAACAUCUAUGCGAGUGUUUGGGUGUCAAGCCCGAGCGCGUAAUGAAAGUGAACGGAGGUGGGAACCCGCAAGGGUGCACCAUCGACCGAUCCUGAAGUUUACGGAAGGAUUUGAGUAAGAGCAUGGCUGUUGGGACCCGAAAGAUGGUGAACUAUGCUUGAAUAGGGUGAAGCCAGAGGAAACUCUGGUGGAGGCUCGCAGCGGUUCUGACGUGCAAAUCGAUCGUCAAAUUUGGGCAUAGGGGCGAAAGACUAAUC
rnacentral:rRNA from 1 species